GACGAACGCUGGCGGCGUGCCUAAUACAUGCAAGUAGAACGCACAGUUUAUACCGUAGCUUGCUACACCAUAAACUGUGAGUUGCGAACGGGUGAGUAACGCGUAGGUAACCUGCCUGGUAGCGGGGGAUAACUAUUGGAAACGAUAGCUAAUACCGCAUAAUAUUAAUUAUUGCAUGAUAAUUGAUUGAAAGAUGCAAUUGCAUCACUACCAGAUGGACCUGCGUUGUAUUAGCUAGUAGGUGAGGUAACGGCUCACCUAGGCGACGAGACAUAGCCGACCUGAGAGGGUGAUCGGCCACACUGGGACUGAGACACGGCCCAGACUCCUACGGGAGGCAGCAGUAGGGAAUCUUCGGCAAUGGACGAAAGUCUGACCGAGCAACGCCGCGUGAGUGAAGAAGGUUUUCGGAUCGUAAAGCUCUGUUGUAAGAGAAGAACGGGUGUGAGAGUGGAAAGUUCACACUGUGACGGUAUCUUACCAGAAAGGGACGGCUAACUACGUG
rnacentral:rRNA from 1 species